GAUGAAGAACGUAGCGAAAUGCGAUAAGUAAUGUGAAUUGCAGAAUUCAGUGAAUCAUCGAAUCUUUGAACGCACAUUGCGCCCCUUGGUAUUCCGGGGGGCAUGCCUGUUCGAGCGUCAUUUCAACCCUCAAGCUUCUGCUUGGUCUUGGGCCGUGCCGGCAACGGCUGGCCUUAAAACUAGUGGCGGUGCCAUCGAGCUCUACGCGUAGUAAUUCUAUCUCGCGUCUGGGCUUCGGUGGACGCUGGCCAGCAACCCCCAAUUUUCUAUGGUUGACCUCGGAUCAGGUAGGGAUACCCGCUGAACUUAAGCAUACAAUAAGCGGAGGA
rnacentral:misc_RNA from 1 species